GCGGUGCCAGCGGGGCAUCCGUGACUGGGCGUGCUGCGCCGGCGCGAGACGCAUGCGCACAAGGACCGCCGUGGGAGCGGGAGGGCGGCCUGAGGGCCUGUCCGGGGUGAAGGCGCCGUCCACACCCCUUUGCCAGACAUGUCUGUCAUUAGAAAAACUUAAGUGGAAAAAGCAACUGGAGACUUCUCCUUUAUAAAGCCUCGUGGUGGAACAUCUGCUUGACCAUAUCAGUGGGAGGAUGAAGGUGCCACACAGGGACUCGAAAUGAAUUGAAAAGGCUCAUCAGCGUGA